rnacentral:rRNA from 1 species
AGCGAACGCUGGCGGCAGGCCUAACACAUGCAAGUCGAACGAACCUUUCGGGGUUAGUGGCGGACGGGUGAGUAACACGUGGGAACGUGCCUUUAGGUUCGGAAUAACUCAGGGAAACUUGUGCUAAUACCGAAUGUGCCCUUCGGGGGAAAGAUUUAUCGCCUUUAGAGCGGCCCGCGUCUGAUUAGCUAGUUGGUUGAGGUAAUGGCUCACCAAGGCGACGAUCAGUAGCUGGUCUGAGAGGAUGAUCAGCCACAUUGGGACUGAGACACGGCCCAAACACCUACGGGAGGCAGCAGUGGGGAAUCUUGCGCAAUGGGCGAAAGCCUGACGCAGCCAUGCCGCGUGAAUGAUGAAGGUCUUAGGAUUGUAAAAUUCUUUCACCGGGGACGAUAAUGACGGUACCCGGAGAAGAAGCCCCGGCUAACUUCGUG